UACAGAGGUCUCAAGCGUUGUUCGGAAUCACUGGGCGUAAAGGGCACGCAGGCGGUCUGUUAAGUUUGGAGUGACAGUUGGUGGCUUAACUGCCAAAGUGCUUCGAAAACUGACAGACUUGAGGGCUUCAGAGGGACACGGAAUUCCGGGUGGAGUGGUGAAAUGCGUAGAGAUCCGGAGGAACACCAAAGGCGAAGGCAGUGUCCUGGGGAGUACCUGACGCUCAGGUGCGAAAGCCAGGGGAGCGAACGGG
rnacentral:rRNA from 1 species